rnacentral:rRNA from 1 species
UUCGAUUAGAGUUUGAUCAUGGCUCAGAACGUACGCUGGCGGCACGCCUAACACAUGCAAGUCGAACGAAGUAGCAAUACUUAGUGGCAGACGGGUGAGUAACAUGUAGGUAUCUUCCCUUUGGCCAGGAAUAACACGAGGAAACUUGUGCUAAUACUGGAUAAGUCUUUACGGAGAAAGCUUUAUGCACCAAUGGAUGAGCCUGCACUUGAUUAGUUUGUUGGUAGGGUAAUGGCCUACCAAGACUGUGAUCAAUAGCUGAUUUGAGAGGAUGAUCAGCCACAUUGGGACUGAGACACGGCCCAAACUCCUACGGGAGGCAGCAGUGGGGAAUCUUGCACAAUGGAGGAAACUCUGAUGCAGCGAUGCCGCGUGAGUGAAGAAGGCCUUUGGGUUGUAAAGCUCUUUCGUCGGGGAAGAAAAUGACUGUACCCGAAUAAGAAGGUCCGGCUAACUUCGUGCCAGCAGCCGCGGUAAUACGAAGGGACCUAGCGUAGUUCGGAAUUACUGGGCUUAAAGAGUUCGUAGGUGGUUGAAAUAGUUGGUGGUGAAAUCCCAGAGCUUAACUCUGGAACUGCCAUCAAAACUUUUCAGCUAGAGUUUGAUAGAGGAAAGCAGAAUUUCUAGUGUAGAGGUGAAAUUCGUAGAUAUUAGAAAGAAUACCAAUUGCGAAGGCAGCUUUCUGGAUCAUUACUGACACUGAGGAACGAAAGCAUGGGUAGCGAAGAGGAUUAGAUACCCUCGUAGUCCAUGCCGUAAACGAUGUGUGUUAGACGUUGGAAAUUUAUUUUCAGUGUCGCAGCGAAAGCGAUAAACACACCGCCUGGGGAGUACGACCGCAAGGUUAAAACUCAAAUGAAUUGACGGGGACCCGCACAAGUAGUGGAGCAUGUGGUUUAAUUCGAAGAUACGCGCAGAACCUUACCAACACUUGACAUGUUCGUCGCGACUUUAAGAGAUUAAAGUUUUCGGUUCGGCCGGACGAAACACAGGUGCUGCAUGGCUGUCGUCAGCUCGUGUCGUGAGAUGUUGGGUUAAGUCCCGCAACGAGCGCAACCCUCACUUUUAGUUGCCAUCAUUUAGUUGGGCACUCUGAAAGAACUGCCAGUGAUAAGCUGGAGGAAGGUGGGGAUGACGUCAAGUCCUCAUGGCCCUUACGUGUUGGGCUACACACGUGCUACAAUGGUAUUUACAACAGGAAGCAAGACGGCGACGUUAAGCAAAUCCUUAAAAAAUACCUCAGUUCGGAUUGCACUCUGCAACUCGAGUGCAUGAAGCUGGAAUUACUAGUAAUCGUGGAUCAGCGUGCCACGGUGAAUGCGUUCCCGGGUUCUUGUACACACCGCCCGUA